rnacentral:pre_miRNA from 1 species
UGACGACUUCAUUAAGAUAUGUUUGAUAUUCUUGGUUGUUGCAUUCUUCAUGUCUCUCAUGAUAUCCACCCAGGAAUCAAACAUAUUAUUAAUGCGGUGCGUUC